rnacentral:rRNA from 1 species
UGAACGCUAGCGACAGGCUUAACACAUGCAAGUCGAGGGGCAGCAUAGAAGUAGCAAUACUUGGUGGCGACCGGCGCACGGGUGAGUAACGCGUAUGCAACCUACCUAUCAGAGGGGAAUAACCCGGCGAAAGUCGGACUAAUACCGCAUAAAACAGGGGCACCGCAUGGUGAUAUUUGUUAAAGAAAUUCGCUGAUAGAUGGGCAUGCGUUCCAUUAGGUAGUUGGUGAGGUAACGGCUCACCAAGCCGACGAUGGAUAGGGGAACUGAGAGGUUGGUCCCCCACACUGGUACUGAGACACGGACCAGACUCCUACGGGAGGCAGCAGUGAGGAAUAUUGGUCAAUGGGCGGGAGCCUGAACCAGCCAAGUCGCCGUGAAGGAAGAAGGAUCUAUGGUUCGUAAACUUCUUUUGCAGGGGAAUAAAGUGCAGGACGUGUCCUGUUUUGUAUGUACCCUGAGAAUAAGGAUCGGCUAACUCCGUGCCAGCCGCCGC